rnacentral:rRNA from 1 species
GUGGCACUCUAAGACGAACUGCCGGUUGCAAAACCGGAGGAAAGGUGGGGAUGACGUCAAGUCCUCAUGGCCUUUAUGACCAGGGCUACACACGUACUACAAUGGCCGGUACAAAGGGCAGCGACACAGCGAUGUGAAGCGAAUCCCGAAAAGCCGGUCUCAGUCCGGAUUGGAGUCUGCAACUCGACUCCAUGAAGUUGGAAUCGCUAGUAAUCGCGGAUCAGCACGCCGCGGUGAAUACGUUCCCGGGCCUU